rnacentral:rRNA from 1 species
GAUGAACGCUGGCGGCGUGCCUAAUACAUGCAAGUCGAGCGAACGGACGAGAAGCUUGCUUCUCUGAUGUUAGCGGCGGACGGGUGAGUAACACGUGGAUAACCUACCUAUAAGACUGGGAUAACUUCGGGAAACCGUAGCUAAUACCGGAUAAUAUUUUGAACCGCAUGGUUCAAAAGUGAAAGACGGUCUUGCUGUCACUUAUAGAUGGAUCCGCGCUGCAUUAGCUAGUUGGUAAGGUAACGGCUUACCAAGGCAACGAUGCAUAGCCGACCUGAGAGGGUGAUAGGCCACACUGGAACGGGGACACGGUCCAGACUCCUACGGGAGGCAGCAGUAGGGAAUCUGCCGCAAUGGGCGAAAGCCUGACGGAGCAACGCCGCGUGAGUGAUGAAGGUCUUCGGAUCGUAAAACUCUGUUAUUAGGGAAGAACAUAUGUGUAAGUAACUGUGCACAUCUUGACGGUACCUAAUCAGAAAGCCACGGCUAACUACGUG